rnacentral:rRNA from 1 species
GCGUACACUAGUACCUAGCGGCGGACGGGUGAGUAAUGCUUAGGAAUCUGCCUAUUAGUGGGGGACAACAUUCCGAAAGGAAUGCUAAUACCGCAUACGCCCUACGGGGGAAAGCAGGGGAUCUUCGGACCUUGCGCUAAUAGAUGAGCCUAAGUCGGAUUAGCUAGUUGGUGGGGUAAAGGCCUACCAAGGCGACGAUCUGUAGCGGGUCUGAGAGGAUGAUCCGCCACACUGGGACUGAGACACGGCCCAGACUCCUACGGGAGGCAGCAGUGGGGAAUAUUGGACAAUGGGCGCAAGCCUGAUCCAGCCAUGCCGCGUGUGUGAAGAAGGCCUUUUGGUUGUAAAGCACUUUAAGCGAGGAGGAGGCUCCUUUAGUUAAUACCUAAAGAGAGUGGACGUUACUCGCAGAAUAAGCACCGGCUAACUCUGUGCCAGCAGCCGCGGUAAUACAGAGGGUGCGAGCGUUAAUCGGAUUUACUGGGCGUAAAGCGUGCGUAGGCGGCUUUUUAAGUCGGAUGUGAAAUCCCUGAGCUUAACUUAGGAAUUGCAUUCGAUACUGGAAAGCUAGAGUAUGGGAGAGGAUGGUAGAAUUCCAGGUG